rnacentral:rRNA from 1 species
UACGUAGGUCCCGAGCGUUGUCCGGAUUUAUUGGGCGUAAAGCGAGCGCAGGUGGUUUAUUAAGUCUGGUGUAAAAGGCAGUGGCUCAACCAUUGUAUGCAUUGGAGACUGGUAGACUUGAGUGCAGGAGAGGAGAGUGGAAUUCCAUGUGUAGCGGUGUAAUGCGUAGAUAUAUGGAGGAACACCGGUGGCGAAAGCGGCUCUCUGGCCUGUAACUGACACUGAGGCUCGAAAGCGUGGGGAGCAAACAGG